GCGCUCUUAGUUCAGUUCGGUAGAACGCGGGUCUCCAAAACCCGAUGUCGUAGGUUCAAAUCCUAAAGAGUAGAGCGUG
rnacentral:tRNA from 1 species